rnacentral:rRNA from 1 species
GACGAACGCUGGCGGCGUGCUUAACACAUGCAAGUCGAACGGAAAGACCCUGCUUUUGUGGGGUGCUCGAGUGGCGAACGGGUGAGUAACACGUGAGUAACCUGCCCUUGACUUUGGGAUAACUUCAGGAAACUGGGGCUAAUACCGGAUAGGAGCUCCUGCUGCAUGGUGGGGGUUGGAAAGUUUCGGCGGUUGGGGAUGGACUCGCGGCUUAUCAGCUUGUUGGUGGGGUAGUGGCUUACCAAGGCUUUGACGGGUAGCCGGCCUGAGAGGGUGACCGGCCACAUUGGGACUGAGAUACGGCCCAGACUCCGACGGGAGGCAGCAGUGGGGAAUAUUGCACAAUGGGCGGAAGCAUGAUGCAGCAACGCCGCGUGCGGGAUGACGGCCUUCGGGUUGUAAACCGCUUUCGCCUGUGACGAAGCGUGAGUGACGGUAAUGGGUAAAGAAGCACCGGCUAACUACGU